AGACAUUUCCCCCUGUUCUUCUAUUCAAUAACAACACAUCGGAAUAACCUUGUGAGAUGUCUUUCACAACCUAAAUAAAUAUUGAAAACAGUCACAUCUUCCAUACAAGCAGAGGAAAACAAAGAAGAUUACAUAAUUCAGACUAUCACAGAUCUAUACAACAGGAGACACCUGAAAGUGCAUGCUCAACCUAAAGAGGAG
rnacentral:lncRNA from 1 species